rnacentral:lncRNA from 1 species
AUUUCCAGCCAAUAGGUUGGUAACCCGGCAUGUUGAUUUCAGUCAGACUCCUUAAGGCACUCUAAAGUGGUCUGGGCAUGACUGAUCUUGUGGGAUGGCAGGCCUGGCAGGCUCUAUCAGAAGACCUCCUGGGAACGUGGCACUGGUGAGGAUCAUAGGAUGGGGUGUGUAUAUAUGUGCUUUCAAAGAAAGGCCAGAGCUUAGUACUGAAACCCUAUUCCUUGGAAGCUAUUAGAAAUAUGGUGUCCUUUUAAUGUAUGACCGUCUCCUGCCAGCUAAGCUGUACCUGCUUGGCCACCCUAACUUCUAGGCAGCUUAUAAGUAACAAUCACUGAAUGGCAUUAACUGCCCUCUGCCUCCACUUUUGUCACUGCCUCAGAAAUUUUAAUAUUCUUUCUUUUCUUCCUCUACUGUUCUAGAGAGACCCUUAGUACAAUGUUGAGAAUUUGUGAUAAUAGGUACUCUUAUCUCCAACUUUAUGGAAAAUGCUUUCAUUUAUUAUUAUGUGAUUUGGGGCUCCCCCUCUUUCUCGUGUGUGUGUGUGUGUGUGUGUGUGUGUGUGUGUGUGUGUGUGUGUG